AUUGAACGCUGGCGGAAUGCUUUACACAUGCAAGUCGAGCGGCAGCGCGGGGCAACCUGGCGGCGAGCGGCGAACGGGUGAGUAAUACAUCGGAACGUACCCAGUUGUGGGGGAUAGCCCGGCGAAAGCCGGAUUAAUACCGCAUACGACCUGAGGGUGAAAGGGGGGGAUCGCAAGACCUCUCGCAGUUGGAGCGGCCGAUGGCGGAUUAGCUAGUUGGUGGGAUAAAGGCCCACCAAGGCGACGAUCCGUAGCGGGUCUGAGAGGACGACCGGCCACACUGGAACUGAGAAACGGUCCAGACUCCUACGGGAGGCAGCAGUGGGGAAUUUUGGACAAUGGGGGCAACCCUGAUCCAGCCAUUCCGCGUGAGUGAAGAAGGCCUUCGGGUUGUAAAGCUCUUUCGGCAGGAACGAAACGGUGGGUCUUAAUACGAUCUGCUAAUGACGGUACCUGAAGAAGAAGCACCGGCUAACUACGUGCCAGCCGCCGCGGUAAUAC
rnacentral:rRNA from 1 species